CCUGGCUCCCAGCGGGUGGAAAGAAACCGGAGCGGUUUUUUUUUGGUGAUUUUGGAAACCUUGAAGGGACACGGACCCCGGUGCUACAGAGGUAGGGCAGCAGGACCGGUGAGCGGGUGCCUGGGACCAGCGCCUGAGGACAAAGAAAAUCGGCACCACCAUUUUGGAGGAGCAGCCCCAGCCAGGCCACGCCCACAGCAACACCGGAGAUAAACCCCAUAGCAAACGGGCAGGAAGUAGAAGCCCUGUCUGCACACAGCUGACAAGCAUAAGCCACUAGAGGUCGCUAUUCUCCCAGGAGAGGAAGGCCACAAAACAAAAAGAAGGGAAACUCUUUCAGCGCUCACUUGUACCAGCUCCGCAAACUAUCUCUAUCACCAUGAAAAGGCAAAACUACAGGCAGACAAAGAACACAGAGACAACAC